AGCUCUUCUCUUAGCUCAGGGCCAGACUCAGCAAGACAGCCUAGAACUUCAGCCUCAUUAUACCCCUGAAAUAUGAAGCGGGUGACAACAGUGACUGUGCUCCUGAUUCUGGGCACCGGGAGCCUUGCUGAGACCACUCAGCCCAUCUCCACGGAGUCCUAUGAGGGCCAAGAAGUGAACUUGACCUGUGACCACCCCGACAUUGCUACAAAUGAGUACAUCUUCUGGUACCGACAGGUCCACCACCAGGGACCACACUUUGUUAUUCAAGGGUAUAAGACGAACGGGGCGAAUGAAGUGGCGUCUCUGUUUAUCCCUCAAGACAGGAAGUCCAGUACCCUGAGCCUGCGCCACGUUGCCCUGAGAGACACUGGUGUGUACUACUGCACUGUGGGCGGUGCACAGUGAGACAUCUGGCCCUGCGCCUGUGCAGUAUCCCUCUGUUGUGUGGCAGUCACACCUGGGAGA